rnacentral:rRNA from 1 species
AAUAGAUACCCUGGUAGUCCACGCCGUAAACGAUGAGUGCUAAGUGUUAGGGGGUUUCCGCCCCUUAGUGCUGCAGCUAACGCAUUAAGCACUCCGCCUGGGGAGUACGGUCGCAAGACUGAAACUCAAAGGAAUUGACGGGGGCCCGCACAAGCGGUGGAGCAUGUGGUUUAAUUCGAAGCAACGCGAAGAACCUUACCAGGUCUUGACAUCCCAUUGACCACUAUGGAGACAUAGUUUUCCCUUCGGGGACAACGGUGACAGGUGGUGCAUGGUUGUCGUCAGCUCGUGUCGUGAGAUGUUGGGUUAAGUCCCGCAACGAGCGCAACCCUUGUUCUUAGUUGCCAUCAUUUAGUUGGGCACUCUAAGGAGACUGCCGGUGACAAACCAGAGGAAGGUGGGGAUGACGUCAAAUCAUCAUGCCCCUUAUGACCUGGGCUACACACGUGCUACAAUGGACGGUACAAACGGUUGCCAACCCGCGAGGGGGAGCUAAUCCGAUAAAACCGUUCUCAGUUCGGAUUGUAGGCUGCAACUCGCCUAC